UGCAAUAUAUUUACCUGGAAAAGUACCUGCAUACAUCAGCAAUCUCAUGAGCAUAUAAGGUAGCCCUUCCCCCUCCUCUUGUUCACAGCCCCUACUGACUAUGGAAGAUGCAUGGCUUGAGCAUCUACAUAGUUCUUGAGAGCAGAAGCAUGAUGAGGAUGAACCACAAAGCUGAGCUCCUGCUAAAGAAGCGCUUCAGUUUUAUGGUUCCUUUCCUGAGCUUCCAGGUGGUUGUCUGAGGUACGCACGAACCGGCAAGUCACAAAACGGCAAUGGUGAACUCCAGCAGGAGUCUGCCCCCCUUUUUUCCUUUCCCGUCCUUCCAGUUGUAUCAGGUCGGAGUCAAAUAAUCAGAAGCAUCUGCGUGUGAUGAAUCCAUGAAUUCUUCGCUGUUGAGUUGAUGUUUGUUUUAUGUACACUGGAAAAACUAGUAUAACUGACAGCUGUUUAUCCAGUAAAAAUACUUUCUGUUGUCUCAUUUGAUUCUCUUGGCUAUUGUCUUACUGAUUAGCAGCUUGGUGUAUAUGUUGCUUCCAAACAAAUUUGUGUAUGUUGGGUAUGCAGAAUAUGCCACAUAUAAUUUGAAUAUAUCUUGUAAUGUUUCAAUAUGUCAAUCCUACUGAGAUCUGUGCUGCUACAAUAUAUUCUAAUUAUUUUAUUACUAUGACGAAGCCAUAUGUUUCCACGAAGACAGAAAUUUCUGUUUUUAUGUGAGAUGAAAACCAGUUAUCCGAAAAAUGACAGUAAGAUCUAGAAGAGAAGUGAUGAUAAGUGUUCUCUUCUGGCUGCGUGGGAGAGUUGUUCGUAUCUUCUAUACUGAUCCUGAAUGAUUUACUGAAAGAAGUUCAGCCAUGGCGCUAGCAAGUACUAGUACUUUGCCUGGAACUGAAGAAACCUAUCAUGCAUUCUCUUUAUUUUACCGACUCACGAAGGUUAGACCAUGCCAAAGGGACUUCCAUGCAGUGUAAAAAUUGAAAAGACAACUAGACAAGUACCCUGAUCUGGGAACGUGUAUUCCGCAUUUCCACCAUGCAAUGAGCCAAGAAGGAACCUUUGCCUGCCUGAAGUAGCGAAGCAUACAGCAGUUGAUUCCACGUAUCUGGCACACCUGGCAGGCACCAGUGGCUGCAGUCCUGCUUUGUGAUCGCCGCCAUCCGUUCCUCCUCCGUGUCGUACCGCACUCUGUACACCGACGGGUGACCGUCUUUCCGGUAAUCGGUGAGCCUGCUGAUAUUGAGGUGUAUCACAGGGGUCUUCAUCUUGCUCAGCACCUGAUCCAGGAUCCUCAUCUUCUCAGGGUACUCGGUGAGUGAAAUUGGCCGUGAGAAGAAGAUGAAGAAGGUACUGCCGUUGACCUGACGGCGGGGUGCCAACCUCUUACCUGAAGUGUGUCAGUGAAUAUCCUCUGAACACAACCUGAGUUCUUGUCGAGUCGAUGUUCUUGUCGACCCACCUAGCCCAUGUGGUUAGCCCUCUCUUGUAUGCAUCCAUCACCUCAAGGCUUGGAUGCACAUGGUUGCCUUCCUGAUAAUAGUUCACCCUAUGCAGUCACAAAAACUUCACCAAUCAGGAUGGAAACUGAUAUUUUGGCUAGCAGAUCAGUUUUCAUAUAGAGCUUGGGUUCUGGGGGAAUUGUUAGGUAGGUACCCCUUUGAUGUUUUUGCGUGAGUCCACCAGUGCCCGGUGUUGAAGACGACGAUGUCAGCGGUCAGGUACGCUGGGGUUGUUGCAUCUAGCUCAUCCAGCCUCAGUUUCGCGUCCAGCACGGUACCGUUUUUGCUCUCCCGAACCACCUCAUUGACCAGAAAUAUCGAUCUUAUGAAAUCAACAGAACAAUUGUAGUCCUGCAAUCAAGUAAAACUGUAAAUGUUCAUAGCUCU